rnacentral:lncRNA from 1 species
AAACCGAAAAAAUGGGUGAAAUGAAUUAGUAUUUUGUUUAACGACCAACUGUUUUGUAUAAUUGAAGUGGCAUGGUCAGUUAACUGAUUAAUUGCAUGGCUGAUUACCAUUUUACAGGUGACCCAGUAAUUUUCCAUAUGACAGUAGCGUGUACUACCCUUGGGGUGUGUAUAACUUAUUUUGAAUACCUUUAUUUUCUGGAGAACAUCCUGUACACGUGUAAUACUUAGUAUAUAUUGCAACUGAUGACGUUAAACAAAUUUUCAUUUUAGCAUCGGUGUCCAUUUCAUGCUCAACCACACAAAUUAUCACAAACAAAAAAAGAUAAUAUAAUAAAAUCAUUAAAAAGA